GACGAACGCUGGCGGCGUGCUUAACACAUGCAAGUCGAACGGAAAGGCCCUGCUUUUGUGGGGUGCUCGAGUGGCGAACGGGUGAGUAACACGUGAGUAACCUGCCCUUGACUUUGGGAUAACUUCAGGAAACUGGGGCUAAUACCGGAUAGGAGCUCCUGCUGCAUGGUGGGGGUUGGAAAGUUUCGGCGGUUGGGGAUGGACUCGCGGCUUAUCAGCUUGUUGGUGGGGUAGUGGCUUACCAAGGCUUUGACGGGUAGCCGGCCUGAGAGGGUGACCGGCCACAUUGGGACUGAGAUACGACCCGGACUCCUACGGGAGGAAGCAGUGGGAGAUAUUGCACAAUGGGCGGAAGCCUGAUGCAGCAACGCCGCGUGCGAGAUGACGGCCUUCGGGUUGUAAACCGCGUUCGCCUGUGACGAAGCGUGAGUGACGGUAAUGGGUAAAGAAGCACCGGCUAACUACGUG
rnacentral:rRNA from 1 species